rnacentral:rRNA from 1 species
AUGGCUCAGGAUGAACGCUAGCUACAGGCUUAACACAUGCAAGUCGAGGGGCAGCAUGAUCUUAGCUUGCUAGGAUUGAUGGCGACCGGCGCACGGGUGAGUAACGCGUAUCCAACCUUCCCUAUAGUAGGGGAUAGCCCGUAGAAAUGCGGAUUAAUACCCUAUGUUGUAUUUUUGAGGACAUCUGACGAAUACCAAAGGUUCACCGCUAUAGGAUGGGGAUGCGUCUGAUUAGGUUGUUGGCGGGUAACGGCCCACCAAGCCUACGAUCAGUAGGGGUUCUGAGAGGAAGGUCCCCCACAUUGGAACUGAGACACGGUCCAAACUCCUACGGGAGGCAGCAGUGAGGAAUAUUGGUCAAUGGGCGAGAGCCUGAACCAGCCAAGUAGCGUGCCAGGAUGACGGCCCUAUGGGUUGUAAACUGCUUUUAUGCGGGGAUAAAGUGAGGGACGUGUCCCUUAUUGUAGGUACCGCAUGAAUAAGGACCGGCUAAUUCCGUGCCAGCAGCAGC